rnacentral:lncRNA from 1 species
AAUCUUUCUUUCUUUUGAAUAGGGCCCAUAGAGACAUGAAUAUUGAUUGUGGCUUCAUCAAGGUUCUGAUCUCAUUAAGUCUUAAAGAGGAAUAGAUUUAAAUCUAGACACAUGGAUCCAAACAGUAUAUCCCUGGAAUUUAACUGUGAGUACACUUAAAAAAAUCUUGAUAAAGAUCUUCCCACUUUGGAAGGAACUAAUGUGAGGGAAAAUCCUUUCCAUAAUUUUCAGUAAGAUAUAAACUCCAGGGAUUCCACCUCUUGGGUCCCCUUCUUCCUCCGGGAGAAGUCUUUUCUGCUGUCCUUUAAUAAACUUCUAAUUUCUACUCUGACCUUGCCUCGGCGUGCUUCUUUGGUGUUAUUCUUCAACAUUGGGGAAGCAAGAACUCGUCACCGGUCAACAGCGGUAACAUAUUGGAGGUCCCAUACCGAGAUUCUACACCGAGGUAAGUGCACACACCCCAUGUCUGUUUGAGGUGCAUCUUUCUCUCUCUUUCUUUCUGGAGGGUAAGGUGGGCACCCGACGGCUACUUAAACGCAAUUAGUGCAGCCGCCACUCUUCAAGACUCGGGUGAGAGGUUUCCCGGCCUAGGCAGCUCUCAAUCACCUGUUCAAUACAGAGCAGGCAUGUUGGGUUCUGCCAAAGCCGCUUCCAACUUUUCUGUCUGGGCCUGGAGAGCAAUUGGCAUGAGUACACAGUGUCCCGAAUCCCGAUCUGCCUCGGAUGCGUGGAGGUGGAGGAAGGAGUUUGGAACAACUGCGGAAUUCUGGUCUGGGCUACACUCAGACGAUUCCUAAGGUUCCUUUCUCUUGAGCCCCCUCCCGACAGCCCUCAGGGGUAUCUAGGGUGAUCGGUAGAUGAAUGGCACUGAGGGAAAGCCCCAAUCACAUUUGCCUCCGUAUGGGCUAUGCACCACUCCCAACCCCGCAUCCAUUCCCUCCUGGAUGCUCCCCUUCCUUCGCAGGUCAGAAAUGUUAGCAAUUCAGGUUGUAGGACUGAGAAAGGCAUGAGAUAAUUAGUAAAAUCUGCCCAGGUUCCCUAAGAUGCAUAGGUACCCUUGAUUUUACACCUAUAGUUGCCCCUAUGUGAGAACAUCUGGUCCACUCAUGGGGAAAUCUAUGGUGCCACUGAUGUAGAAGUCAUAAUUAAAUGAGAGUUAAAAACCUGGAGAGAUUUUUCUCUUAUCUGGUCUGUCUGUUUUGAUUUUUUUUAUUGUAACUUCUGGUAUCUAAAUGAGUUUGAAGCAUUGCAUAAUCUUGCAGUUGAAAGUUGGGGUUAGGUAAUUGUUUAGUUUGUGAUUUCAGAUAAUUCAUGCCGGAGAACUUAAAUACUUAGGAUAGAAAAUUAAAAGAACUCUACUUCCCAGUUGGCAAGUAACACCCAAUCAUUUAGUUUUACUUUUUUCAUCAAUUUUUGAACUGGGUAGCCUGAAAAGAAAACAUUGGUCUGGCUUAUUGAAAUGACAUUAAAUAGCAACAGUCUUAAAAAUUUUUAAAGCUUAAUUUUGGAUAUACAUGGUACUUAUGGUUAAAAUACCUUAGGCAUGAGGUUUCUGCUCAGAAUUCCAGUUUUCCCAGUUCCUUCCAGACCUCAGCCAGGACUUAAGUUGAUAUGCAAAUAGAAGAAGCCUGGAGCACUCAGUAGGAGACAGAUCUGAGGCCCAAGAAAAAAAAAGAGUAAAAGUGUCUUUUUAUGGGCACUCAAACUAGAUUAAACCAAAGAGUAAGUUGUAUGGCAUUUACUAAUUACUGGCCGGUCAAUUUUUUCUAGGACUUUUUUUUCUUAGAUUUUGUAUUUUUUUUUUUUUUGAGCUCAUGAUUUUGAUCCUACAGACAAGUUAGUGUUUUUCUGAUAAGUUCUAUUUUUGAUCAACUGGAGUUUUUUUUUUUUUUUUUUAAACAUUGCAAUGACAUUUCACCUGAGAAAGCUACAAAGCCUUUACUAUUGUGUUGUGUUACACUUGUGUUACGUGUUGUAUGUCUGUAUGUCUGUAUGUGUGUAUGUCCAUAUAUCAUGCAGUGAUAUGACAAUUGACAGAUGAGGAGUGCUCAUAAAAAAUUCAAAAAUGGAUCCAAAUAUCUUUUGAUUCACGUGAUUUAAAUGGCUCAAUUUAAAUUGGGUAAACAGAUGAAAGUAAAGAUGUCUUUAAAAUUAAGCUUAUAAGUUUUUCUAGAUGUUCAAAAAGGCCCUAAUAAAAUGUUAAAUCUGCUUAAAUUAAAAAAUUUACAAGUAUUGUUUCAAAAUGUGAACAGAAGGAGGUUAACAGAUAAAAAAGAGAAACUAGAAGGUUCUAGAUAUGGAUUUAAUAGAGGGAAAAUGUGUUUCUGGAUAAGAGUCUAUAUGAUUAAGAGGGUUUAAGUAAAUGAUAUAAAAAAGGUCUGUGUAAGUUGCUUAUAAGUGUAAGUUUUUGAGCAAGUAAUNCCAGAGUAGUUUUUAGUUUAAGGCCUUUAUUUCUAACCUACACAGGUAGGCUUAGUGUUUGCAAGUAUGGUUAUCCAGCCCUAAGUAACAGAAUUAAAGAUUUCUCUAUUAGACACAGAGGUCAUACUAGUAAAAGGAUUUUGCAAGAUCAGAUGACAUUAAAUUAUUAAACUAUAUCUUAAGGGAAAGAAUGUCUGUAACCCUAAAAGUUAAAUGUUGUGUUUACACCCCUGACAUUUCUGGCAAUGUGACAAAUAUCCUUAAAGAUUUACAUGCUCGGAUAGAAGCCAUGUCCUCAGCAACUUUGUCAUGGAAACAAUAUCUUAGCUCCUGGUUCUUGGUACUUCCUGGUGGAAAACAUUGUUAGUCUUUGUCUUUGCCAUCAUACUCAUUGGCAUAUUCCUGUGCUAUGGCAUUUAUUGCUGCAUCAAUAUGGUUCCAGUACUAAUGAAUUCUUGUUUCUCUUAUAGACCAUCCAUCACUCAAAUGGCCCUCCAGACUAUUACUUCUCAAUCAGACUUCUAUCAUGGACCACUCGAUAGACCCGAUUUUUAAAUGGGGACUCCAAACUGCUUGCCCCACAUCUUCCCUUUUCAGCCUGAAGAAGCCAGAAAGAUCUUCUUCGCCCCCCUUCCUUACAGCAGUAAGGAGUUCCCAACUUAGAGGGGGGAAUGAAGCCAGAUUUAAAGUUAGAUAGUCAGUGUAGUUAGGUAAAUCGGGUCUAAUAUCAAGUGAAAUCUAAAAUGGAGACCAUGCGGAGAAUGACUCAGGGAAAACACAGGACAACUCAUGGAAUGUUAAUGAAGUCCCAAAAGGCCCUAGGCCAAAGUCCACCUCAAAGAAAUGUUAAUGAACAGCCCCCAGCAAAAAGGUGCCUGACUCAGAAGUCCUUCCUGACCAGAUUACUUCUUUGGCCCACCUGAGUCCCACCCCUCGGGCCUUCCCACGUACAUUCCAUCACUGAAAGAACUAUAAAAAGGGGAGACAACAUCCCUUCCACGGAUUCCACCUCUUGGGUCCCCUUCUUCCUCCGGGAGAAGUCUUUUCUGCUGUCCUUUAAUAAACUUCUAAUUUCUACUCUGAAAAAAAAAAAAAGAUAUAAACUCCAAGUUGAAAUGUUGGUGUCUGAGGUGAGUUUUCAAGAGCCAGAGGACCUUGUUAGUAUAUUAAUCCUUUAUGCUGAGGAGUCCCAUCAACUCUGGUUACUAGACAAGUUUGAUUGGAAAGAGGUCCAGGAGUUUCAAUCAAUGGAGAAAAUCAAACCCCCAUGUCCAAAGGGCAAUUAACAUUACUUGCCACAUCAAAUAUAGCAAAAUUACCCAAUGCUCUUCUGAAAUGAUUCCAGUUGAUUGAAGAGAACUCUAGAAAGAUCAGGUAUCCUCAGUCUUUCAGGGCAGAUCAACUAUCUUAUCUCUUAUGAUUUCCCUCUUUGCAGAAGGGGCAUAACUCAGGUGUGGGUGGACUCUGGGGCAGUCCUUGCUCCAGGGUCCAGGAUCACUGCAAUGGUAGCAGCCUCUGGGAUUAGAGUUAUUUUUCCCCUAUUUUAUAUAGCGCCUUGGGGCACCUUUGAGGACAGGGGGCUUUUGCCUAAGGUAAGGUGAGCAGUUAGGCCUGUUCUGAAGCCUGGAUUCAUCUCUUUGGAGCCUUCUUAUUUUCCACUCUCUAACUUAUAUUGGAGCCAAGCUGUGUUACAGAAAAAAAAAAAUCAGGUUCUUUUUCCUCUAGUGCUCUGCCUUCAAAUAAUUUCAGUUAUUUAAUAUGUACCUGAGGUUAGUUCUCAGAGAAAGACACUGAAUUACCCAUAAUCUUGUAAGCACAUGUUCAAAGCUUUCCUUAUAUCUUUCUGGGAAAAAAAAUCUAAAGAAAAACAGGACACUUUUUAAAGUUCCUUCUGUAUAAUUCAUGAGUUUCUAAACUGGGAUGAGACAUUGCUCUAUCACCAACUGCCACAUCAGGAAUCUUAUUUUGUAAGUUUUCCAUGAGACUCAUACAUUCCCAUAGUGAACCUGGAUGAGCAGCACUGGCCUAUCUCACUUUACUGUCUACCUUUGGGUUUGGGGUCCUUGCAACUGGGGAAGCAGCCUUGAUUGGAAAUAAAUAGGCUAGAUCAUUCCUUCUAUUAAUUACCAGUGACUUGAGCAUCUUUGCCUUUAAUACACAGACAUAUUUCUUACUUCUCAGCCUCUGGACCAUUUCCCACCAACCCCUGCAUUUUUCAUUAAAAAAAAAAACAACAACAACAAAAAUUUCAAGAAUGCAAGCCCACUCACAUCUUUUCAUUUCAUGGCCAAAAUGUAGAAAAAGACAUACAUAUAAGUUAUAUGUUUAACCUUUUAUGAAAAGAAUAUCUCUGGGACAAACUAGAUGUGCUUGACAGAUUAUGGGCUUUCUACAACCCCAGCCUUUUUUAUGUAUUAUUUUGAGGCAGGGUCUCACUCAAUUGCUUAGGGCCUGACUGAAUUCCCAAGGCUGGCUUUGAAUUUGUGGUCCUUCUGUCUCAGCCUCCCAAGCCACUGGGAUUACAGGUGUGAGCCAUCACUUUUUGGUAGUAUUUUUUCAGCAGAUGUUCCAGAAAACCAAGAGGUGAGUAGGUCUGUUAGAUUGGAAUCCAGUUGACACAGCACAAAUUUAAGAUUCUGGCAGAGUCUUCUGUGAUAAUUAUCAGUAACUCAUGCAUAAGAACUUUCUUUACAACUUCCUGGUUUUACUUAGUUCUUUGAAGGGCUAACACAAGUGACUUCACCUUCAUUCAGAUGACUCUCUCUCUCUCUCUUUUAAUCAAAUGCUGCCUUGUCUUUGUGACAGUUUUCCUGAAGACAAUUGCUGAUCACUGAUCCUGUUUGAUUGCCCCUCAUUGCUAGGAUGCAUCUGUCUGUCCCACAUUGGAGGGAUAGUGAUUACUGAAUGGGAUUCAGUAUCAAAGUCUCUUUUGACAUAUUUGGGCAACAAGGAGGAUUAGAAGGAGUGGUUUUUAGGCCAAGCUUACCUGAGUCCACUGUUAGGUUUUUUAAAAUCUUGUAUGUUCUGUAGGGAAUGGCCUGCAUCUCAAAACAUCAGUCCAGAUCCUUAUGAGGUGUGGCACUUCUGCAGAAUUCCGAAAGGAUACAUUAACAAAGCUUUAAAAGGAAAAUACUUUUAAUAAAAACAAAAGCAAUCUAAACACUGUUGCUGACACAGAUAUUCUUAAAUAAAGUUUGUUUGUAAACUGAAAAAAAAGGAAAAUACCAAACAAAACCAAGAAGACAAAAUGAAUUUAGUUUGUAUAGCACUUUUAAAUAUUGGAACAAUUUUUCAAGCAUACAAAAUUUUAAUAAGAAAAUCAAAGGAUAACCAGUUUGUAAAAAAAAGUUUGGUUUUAUUAGAAAUAUGUAUAUAUGAGUACUUGUUGGAGUCUGUCCUAGGACUCUGGUUGUAAAUGCUUCAGAGAGAAUCAGACCUGUGGACCACAAAUGACUUAAAACAGCUGCGGUUAGGAUUUUGAUGAGAAUUUGGAAACUAAUGUGACAAUUUAGCUACAUUCAUAGUACAUUAAAUUUUAAGAUAGUACUUAUGACUAACAGUAUUAUGGCAGGACCACGAGAUUUCCAAGUUUUAGAAUGUCUUUAGAACAUUUUUAUCAAUGCCAUAUAUCCCAUAUCAUGAUAAAAUUAUAGUUGCUCAUUUAAUUAGACUUAACUAGAGAUAUAAAGUGAUCAUGUGAUGGAUUUUAAAACAUAUAUUCAAUGAACCUUGAAUGUAAC